UUGAAGCAUGAUCGUAAGGACAUGUGGAGCGCUUAGAAGUGAGAAUGCCGGUGUGAGUAGCGAAAGACGGGUGAGAAUCCCGUCCACCGAUUGACUAAGGUUUCCAGAGGAAGGCUCGUCCGCUCUGGGUUAGUCGGGUCCUAAGCUGAGGCCGACAGGCGUAGGCGAUGGAUAACAGGUUGAUAUUCCUGUACCACCUAUAAUCGUUUUAAUCGAUGGGGGGACGCAGUAGGAUAGGCGAAGCGUGCGAUUGGAUUGCACGUCUAAGCAGUAAGGCUGAGUAUUAGGCAAAUCCGGUACUCGUUAAGGCUGAGCUGUGAUGGGGAGAAGACAUUGUGUCUUCGAGUCGUUGAUUUCACACUGCCGAGAAAAGCCUCUAGAUAGAAAAUAGGUGCCCGUACCGCAAACCGACACAGGUAGUCAAGAUGAGAAUUCUAAGGUGAGCGAGCGAACUCUCGUUAAGGAACUCGGCAAAAUGACCCCGUAACUUCGGGAGAAGGGGUGCUCUUUAGGGUUAACGCCCAGAAGAGCCGCAGUGAAUAGGCCCAAGCGACUGUUUAUCAAAAACACAGGUCUCUGCUAAACCGUAAGGUGAUGUAUAGGGGCUGACGCCUGCCCGGUGCUGGAAGGUUAAGAGGAGUGGUUAGCUUCUGCGAAGCUACGAAUCGAAGCCCCAGUAAACGGCGGCCGUAACUAUAACGGUCCUAAGGUAGCGAAAUUCCUUGUCGGGUAAGUUCCGACCCGCACGAAAGGCGUAACGAUUUGGGCACUGUCUCAACGAGAGACUCGGUGAAAUCAUAGUACCUGUGAAGAUGCAGGUUACCCGCGACAGGACGGAAAGACCCCGUGGAGCUUUACUGUAGCCUGAUAUUGAAAUUCGGCACAGCUUGUACAGGAUAGGUAGGAGCCUUUGAAACGUGAGCGCUAGCUUACGUGGAGGCGCUGGUGGGAUACUACCCUAGCUGUGUUGGCUUUCUAACCCGCACCACUUAUCGUGGUGGGAGACAGUGUCAGGCGGGCAGUUUGACUGGGGCGGUCGCCUCCUAAAAGG
rnacentral:rRNA from 1 species